rnacentral:tRNA from 1 species
GCUAGCUCAGUUGGUAGAGCAGGAGUCUCUUAAUCUCAGGGUUGUGGGUUCGAGCCCCACGUUGUGCA